UGCAAGCCGAGCGGUAGAGUUUCUUCGGAAACUUGAGAGCGGCGCACGGGUGCGUAACACGUGUGCAACCUACCUUUAUCUGGGGGAUAGCCUUUCGAAAGGAAGAUUAAUACCCCAUAAUAUAAUGAUUGGCAUCAAUUAUUAUUGAAAACUCCGGUGGAUAGAGAUGGGCACGCGCAAGAUUAGAUAGUUGGUGAGGUAACGGCUCACCAAGUCAAUGAUCUUUAGGGGUCCUGAGAGGGAGAUCCCCCACACUGGUACUGAGACACGGACCAGACUCCUACGGGAGGCAGCAGUGAGGAAUAUUGGACAAUGGGUGAGAGCCUGAUCCAGCCAUCCCGCGUGAAGGAAGACGGUCCUAUGGAUUGUAAACUUCUUUUGUACAGGGAUAAACCUACUCUCGUGAGGGUAGCUGAAGGUACUGUACGAAUAAGCACCGGCUAACUCCGUGCCAGCAGCCGCGGUAAUACGGAGGGUGCA
rnacentral:rRNA from 2 species